CUACGUGCCAGCAGCCGCGGUAAUACGGAGGAUGCGAGCGUUAUCCGGAUUUAUUGGGUUUAAAGGGUGCGUAGGCGGUUUGUUAAGUCAGCGGUGAAAUCUAGAGGCUCAACCUCGAAACUGCCGUUGAAACUGGCGAACUUGAGUGUAGAUGAGGUAGGCGGAAUUCGUGGUGUAGCGGUGAAAUGCAUAGAUAUCACGAGGAACUCCAAUUGCGAAGGCAGCUUACUAAGGUACAACUGACGCUGAAGCACGAAAGCGUGGGUAUCAAACAGGAUUAGAUACCCUGGUAGUCCACGCAGUAAACGAUGAUAACUGGGCGUAUGCGAUAUACAGUAUGCUCCUAAGCGAAAGCGUUAAGUUAUCCACCUGGGGAGUACGCCGGCAACGGUGAAACUCAAAGGAAUUGACGGGGGCCCGCACAAGCGGAGGAACAUGUGGUUUAAUUCGAUGAUACGCGAGGAACCUUACCCGGGAU
rnacentral:rRNA from 1 species